GACGAACGCUGGCGGCGUGCUUAACACAUGCAAGUCGAACGGAAAGGCCCUGCUUUUGUGGGGUGCUCGAGUGGCGAACGGGUGAGUAACACGUGAGUAACCUGCCCUUGACUUUGGGAUAACUUCAGGAAACUGGGGCUAAUACCGGAUAGGAGCUCCUGCUGCAUGGUGGGGGUUGGAAAGUUUCGGCGGUUGGGGAUGGACUCGCGGCUUAUCAGCUUGUUGGUGGGGUAGUGGCUUACCAAGGCUUUGACGGGUAGCCGGCCUGAGAGGGUGACCGGCCACAUUGGGACUGGGAUACGGCCCAGACUCCUACGGGAGGCAGCAGUGGGGAAUAUUGCACAAUGGGCGGAAGCCUGAUGCAGCAACGCCGCGUGCGGGAUGACGGCCUUCGGGUUGUAAACCGCUUUCGCCUGUGACGAAGCGUGAGUGACGGUAGUGGGUAAAGAAGCACCGGCUAACUACGUG
rnacentral:rRNA from 1 species